rnacentral:rRNA from 1 species
GACGAACGCUGGCGGCGUGCUUAAAACAUGCAAGUCGAACGGAGUUGAUUUCCUUCGGGAGAUCGACUUAGUGGCGGACGGGUGAGUAACACGUGAGCAACCUGCCUACUACAGGGGAAUAACACUUAGAAAUAGGUGCUAAUACCGCAUGAGACCACAACCCGGCAUCGGGAAGGGGUGAAAGGAGCAAUCCGGUAGUAGAGGGGCUUGCGUCUCAUUAGCUAGUUGGUGAGGGUAACGGCCCACCAAGGCGACGAUGAGUAGCCGAUCUGAGAGGAUGACCGGCCACACUGGAACUGAGAUACGGUCCAG